rfam:Culex pipiens quinquefasciatus supercont3.628 genomic scaffold, whole genome shotgun sequence.
GGCUCCGUAGCUUAAUGGUUACGGCUUCUGCCUCACAAACAGAAGGUUCAGGGAUCAAAUCCCGGUCGGUACCU